CUUUAUUGGAGAGUUUGAUCCUGGCUCAGGACGAACGCUGGCGGCGUGCCUAAUACAUGCAAGUCGAGCGGACUUGAGGGAGCUUGCUCCCGAUGGUCAGCGGCGGACGGGUGAGUAACACGUGGGCAACCUGCCUGUAAGACUGGGAUAACUCCGGGAAACCGGGGCUAAUACCGGAUAAUUCAUUCCCUCACAUGAGGGAAUGCUGAAAGACGGCUUUUGCUGUCACUUACAGAUGGGCCCGCGGCGCAUUAGCUAGUUGGUGAGGUAACGGCUCACCAAGGCCACGAUGCGUAGCCGACCUGAGAGGGUGAUCGGCCACACUGGGACUGAGACACGGCCCAGACUCCUACGGGAGGCAGCAGUAGGGAAUCUUCCGCAAUGGACGAAAGUCUGACGGAGCAACGCCGCGUGAGCGAAGAAGGCCUUCGGGUCGUAAAGCUCUGUUGUCAGGGAAGAACAAGUACCGGAGUAACUG
rnacentral:rRNA from 2 species